rnacentral:tRNA from 1 species
GCCGGGAUGGCGGAAUUGGCAGACGCGCUAGGUUCAGGACCUAGUGGGAUUUAAUCCCGUGGGGGUUCGAGUCCCCCUCCCGGCACAA